GAUGAACGCUAGCGGCAGGCUUAAUACAUGCAAGUCGAACGGUAAGUUUGGUAGCAAUAUCAAACCAAGAGUGACGUACGGGUGCGUAACACGUAUGCAACCUACCUUGUACAGGAGUAUAGCUCGGGGAAACUCGAAUUAACCCUCCAUGAGAUCACAGUGUGGCAUCACACAGUGAUUAAAACUCAGGUGGUACAAGAUGGGCAUGCGUCUGAUUAGAGUUGGCGGGGUAAUGGCCCACCAAGACGAUGAUCAGUAGGGGACCUGAGAGGUGAUCCCCCANACUGGCACUGAGAUACGGGCCAGACUCCUACGGGAGGCAGCAGUAGGGAAUAUUGGUCAAUGGAUGCAAGUCUGAACCAGCCAUGCCGCGUGC
rnacentral:rRNA from 1 species